ACAAUGGGUUGGUCCACCCACUGAGACAGUGUGCCUGAUCUAAUGGAAGCUCACCAAAUCCAGCUGGACCGGACUGAAUGAGUAUGUGAUCAAACCGGACUCUUCGGUGAAGUUUUGACUUCUUCCAGGUAAAUAGGGAUAGCCAAGGGGUCUUCUUCAGUUUGGCAGAGUAAGGAGGCUGAACCCAACAUGCCAAGUGGGAAGAAGAGUGAGGGAGAGAGGUCGCACAAGGAAAAGAGAAGACACAGGAGACCUGAGAAUGCUGAAGGUUCUUCUUACACAGAGCUCCUGAGCGACGCAACGAUAGAGCCAACGCUAUGUACGGGGGAGGGGGGGCCUCACCGCUGCGGCCCCCUUGAAUUACGGACUGCAUAGCAUUAGUCUUCUGAACUGUGCCGGAGACACCAAAAACAACGGCUUUUCCAUUUGGAUUUUAACAAACUAGUUUUAAGAAAGCUGGGAUUCUGAGGUCGGAAGUUCUAGGGUUUUAUCCCCUUUUCCUUGGCUAUAUGGAAAAAACAAACAAACAAAAACCGGGAAACAAGAACAAAAGCCCACCAUGUUUCAGAGGAAGAUUUCUGCCCUCUGAACAGCAUGUGGCCAUCAGGACUAGCCUCCUCAGCCCUACCCCAGAGCCUUGUUCCUCUGCCUGUGUUCUGUCUCAUCACUGACGUCCACCAUCUCCCCAGCUAUGAAGUGGUCAAUUUGGGGGCCAAUAAAACUCUAGUUUAUCUAACUGA